GGGGAAUAUUGGACAAUGGGGGCAACCCUGAUCCAGCCAUGCCGCGUGUGUGAAGAAGGCCUUCGGGUUGUAAAGCACUUUCAGUAGGGAGGAAAGGUAGCGUGUUAAUAGCCCGUUACUGUGACGUUACCUACAGAAGAAGGACCGGCUAACUCCGUGCCAGCAGCCGCGGUAAUACGGAGGGUCCGAGCGUUAAUCGGAAUUACUGGGCGUAAAGCGUGCGCAGGCGGUUUGUUAAGCAAGAUGUGAAAGCCCCGGGCUCAACCUGGGAAUUGCAUUUUGAACUGGCGAACUAGAGUCUUGUAGAGGGGGGUAGAAUUCCAGGUGUAGCGGUGAAAUGCGUAGAGAUCUGGAGGAAUACCGGUGGCGAAGGCGGCCCCCUGGACAAAGACUGACGCUCAGGCACGAAAGCGUGGGGAGCAAACAGGAUUAGAUACCCUGGUAGUCCACGCCGUAAACGAUGUCUACUCGGAGUUUGGUGUCUUGAACACUGGGCUCUCAA
rnacentral:rRNA from 1 species